rnacentral:rRNA from 1 species
GGGAUAUUGGACAAUGGGGGGAACCCUGAUCCAGCGACGCUGCGUGAGUGAAGAAGUAUCUCGGUAUGUAAAGCUCUAUCAGCAGGGAAGAAAGAAAUGACGGUACCUGAGUAAGAAGCCCCGGCUAACUACGUGCCAGCAGCCGCGGUAAUACGUAGGGGGCAAGCGUUAUCCGGAUUUACUGGGUGUAAAGGGAGCGUAGACGGUAAUGUAAGUCUGAUGUGAAAGCCCGGGGCUCAACCCCGGGACUGCAUUGGAAACUAUGUAACUAGAGUACCGGAGAGGUAAGCGGAAUUCCUAGUGUAGCGGUGAAAUGCGUAGAUAUUAGGAGGAACACCAGUGGCGAAGGCGGCUUACUGGACGGAAACUGACGUUGAGGCUCGAAAGCGUGGGGAGCAAACA